rnacentral:rRNA from 1 species
UACGGAGGAUGCAAGCGUUAUCCGGAAUCAUUGGGCGUAAAGGGUCCUGAGGUGGUUUGCUAAGUCUACUGUGAAAGAUCAGGGCUCAACCCUGAAAAUGCGGUGGAAACUGGCAGGCUAGAAUACGGUAGGGGCAGGGGGAAUUCCUGGUGUAGCGGUGAAAUGCGCAGAUAUCAGGAGGAACACCAGCGGCGAAGGCGGCGCUCUGGGCCGGAACUGACGCUGAGGAGCGAAAGCGUGGGUAGCAAACAGG